AAUUCCAACCCGACUCGUGUCCUAUCCAAUCACGGGCCCUGAUAUCCGAAACCGUGUCCUGCUUCCGUUAUCAUCUUGCGCCACGAACCACCUCAGCCUGAAACAGAACACACAGAAAAACCUCCGAUGAAUCUCCAAGCUCCGUGUACCUUCUCCACCCUCCUCCGCCCGAAACCGCCGCUUUACCGGCGUCUACCUCCGCUCAAAUGCUGCCUCACAACGACGCCGGAGCUCCAGAUGCCUGUAGGAGUCGGGGUCCCCUCCCAUAAAGUCACCGUCCACGACAGGAAACGUGGGCUCGUUCACGAGUUCUUCGUGCCCGAGGACCAGUAUAUACUGCACACUGCGGAGGCUCAGAGUAUAUCUCUCCCGUUCGCUUGCAGGCACGGUUGUUGCACUAGCUGUGCUGUUCGCGUAAAAUCUGGCCAAAUUAGACAGCCUGAAGCAUUAGGGAUAUCUGCAGAGCUGAAAUCUAAGGGCUAUGCACUUCUUUGCGUGGGCUUCCCUUCUUCUGAUAUUGAAGUUGAAACACAAGAUGAGGAUGAGGUGUAUUGGCUUCAGUUUGGAAGAUAUUUUGCUAGAGGUCCAAUAGAAAGAGAUGACUAUGCGUUGGAGUUAGCUAUGGGUGAUGAGUAAGCUACAUAACUGGAUUGGAGUUAUGGAUCAUGAGUGAAGAUCCUAAAACCAUGCUGUGAGACGUCACUCCAAGAAGACAUUUGGAAGAAGAUGAAAGGUCAAUCUGGUGGAACCCAGAAUAUCAGUGUCACCCAUGUGGAGGGAGGGACUCUGGACCAGUCUCUGGUGACAAAACUAGGUUAGCUUGAUUUUCUUUUCAAGUUGCGGAAAAUCCAUUACAAAUAAGCACUUAGAUGGGCCUGCUUGGUACUAGAAGUUCAUUCAUUUGAAAUUAUAUCGUUUAUGGAUCUCUCUCUAGUUGCGAUUCUCUUCUCUGAAAGGUGACUUGGCCAUUGUGGUACGUUUGACGUACCACCACAUGUUUUUUUUUGACGUACGACCACAAGUUGCUUGGCUUUAAGAUUGGUUGUAAAGUAAUGGUUGCAGUUCUGAAUUUAUUCUUUUAUGUUGUCUGCCCAGUGAUAACAGUGUUGUGAAAACGGUUGAGGUCGAUUUAAGUGUUGCUCUGUAAUCUGUAUGCAUAUUGAGUACCACAAAUUCCAGAACUUAACGAUUGUAAACUUUUGAGUUGAGAUUUAUAGAGGAAUCCUAAGAAUUCUAAGAAA